CCCGUCAGUACGCUCAGCUGCCCCAUUUUGAUCAUGGCCGACGCAAACUUCUCGAAGAACAAAGCCUGGUUCACGGCGAAGCUCGUGACGAUAGACCGGGUCCUGGAGUCGGUGUACAGGUCCUGGUCCGACGUGAAGAGGCCUUGCCGGUUCAUGAGAUCGACGUAGUACUUGUUGUCGAAGGUGUUGGGGGACCGGAUAUCGAGAACGGUGGUGUUGACGGUGUUCUUGGCCGGGCAGGUGCGGCGGAGGGAGUUGGCGAAGGUCUUGUCCAUGAUGGGAUCCUGGGUGGGGAAGAGGCGGUUGUCGAAGGAGGUGCAGUGGCCGAUGCCGAUGGUGUGGCCGCCGGAGAGGGCGACGAGGUCGGUGGAGUCGAGUUUGAGCUUGGCCAAGGCUGAGAGGAGGACGGUGACGUUGGAGAAGGGGGCAGGGAGGCUGGCGAGGGUGGCUUGCUGGGUGGCGAAGUUGAGGCCGUCACGGCGGCCUAAGGGAACGGGGUAGUUAGGCCCACCGGACUGCAAGAGAGAUUUGAACUCUUUAGCCGGGCGAUCUCAAACAUCACACAUCAAGAUCUAGUGGCUUACCAUUACAUUUAGACUAUUUGCUGGAGACAGUAGUGCUUAUUUCUGCUGAUCUCAUUUCUCUUAUAUAUGCUUGUAUUUUUCAGUAAUAGCAAAUAUAUGAAUGUAUAUAAGAAGUUUUUUGUAUACUUUUUUAAUAUUUAGAAAUUAUUUGUAUCUUUAUCGUCAAAAGUUUCAAAGAGGUGUGACCUCUUUUGUAGCUGGAUUAAUUUGUGACAUCAGAAACCAAGUUCCUGGCCUUAAAUCUUUUACUACCGUGAUACAGGAAGAGGCAAGCUUUGCAUGGUUCGUUUCAUUUUAAGGGAGGGAGUGAAAUAUCCCUAUUUUUAAUUUUCUCUAUAAGUUUAUCUCACUAACCAUUGGAGACUAAUUAAAAUACGAUUCACCUGGUUAGCGGGUGAACAUCAAUAGUUAAAUAGGCGUGUGGUGGUAGGCGGCUAUUCGAUAUCCAAAUGCAGCCCAAGGGUCCACACGGGAAAUAGCACGGUGCUUAGAAAAGUCAACAGUCAACCGACCGUCCGUACGCUUUUCCAGGCUAAAUUCACGGUGACCCAGUGAGCUUUCUUUUCAGUCUUUUUUUUUUUGGUUAAAGCUUUCUUUUCAGUCUUUGAAACUGUGCAUAAUGUCGUUGUACCAAAAAAUAAAAAAACCUGUCCAUUAACGCCACACGCUUACACACGCGCGCGCACACAGACACAGAGAGAGAGAGAGAGAGAGGGAGAAGCAAUACCAGGUGGACGGAGUCACGGGCAGCGAGAGCGGCGACGUCGGCGCAGGAGACGACCCGACCACAUUGCUUGUCUAUAAGAGCCCGGAGUUCGUUGAUGGCCUUGAACGCCGCCGGCCUCAGCGUCAGGUUGGGCGGCGCCUGCUGCUCCCCCGGCCCGCUCGCCGACCCAUCCAAUAACACCGACGCAUCACACCCCUGCCAUUUUCUAACCUCCAUCAAUGAUAUGCAACGAAAGAUGGACAUAUAUAUAACCAUUAUUGAGCUCGUGUUAACUAAAGAACCAGUUAAGAGUCAUACCUGGACGAAGCAGUCGUGGAAGUGGACUCGAAGGAGGCCGGCGGCGAGGCCGAUGUCCUUCUGGAAGGCAUUCUUCAAGU
rnacentral:lncRNA from 1 species